rnacentral:rRNA from 1 species
GACGAACGCUGGCGGCGUGCUUAACACAUGCAAGUCGGACGGUAAGGCCCUUCGGGGUACACGAGUGGCGAACGGGUGAGUAACACGUGGGUGAUCUGCCCUGCACUUCGGGAUAAGCCUGGGAAACUGGGUCUAAUACCGGAUAGGACCCUGGGAUGCAUGUUCUGGGGUGGAAAGCUUUUGCGGUGUGGGAUGGGCCCGCGGCCUCUCAGCUUGUUGGUGGGGUGAUGGCCUACCAAGGCGACGACGGGUAGCCGGCCUGAGAGGGUGACCGGCCACACUGGGACUGAGAUACGGCCCAUACUCCUACGGGAGGCAGCAGUGGGGAAUAUUGCACAAUGGGCGCAAGCCUGAUGCAGCGACGCCGCGUGAGGGAUGACGGCCUUCGGGUUGUAAACCUCUUUCAGCACCGACGAAGCGCAAGUGACGGUAGGUGCAGAAGAAGGACCGGCCAACUACGUGCCAGCCGCCGCAGUAA